GCCGUUGUAGUGUAGGGGUUAACAUGGGAGGUUGUCGAUCUCCCGCCCCGGGUUCAAAUCCCGGCAACGGCGCCA
rnacentral:tRNA from 2 species